GGACCAGGAGCACGAACUGGAGCUGGGAGCCGAGCAGGAGCAGCAGCUGGUAAUGGAACUGGUAACGGAGCAGAAGCGGGCUGGCUGGAGGAGCACAGGGGCCGGAGCUGCAUUCAGCUGCCCGGGGGCAGGCAGCGCUGCCAGGACCCUGGCGCACACCCGCACAGGCUGUGCCGUGCCCCGGCAGGAGCUUUUGCAGCAGCUGCUCUCCGCUGCGGGUUCAGUGUCCUGCUGCAAGGAGGCUCUGCCUGCAGCUCAGAGCUGCCUUGCACCGUCUCAAGGGGCUCUCCAGGAAGGAGUCCCUCAGCCUGCUCUCAGCUCUCCUUCAGCUGCUGAAACGUAGCUCGAAGGUCUCCCUGGAGCCUUCUCCUCUCCAGGCUGAGCAGCCACAGCUCUCUCAGGCUGCCUUCACAGCAGAGCUUCUCCCACCCUCUGCUCAUGUUUGUGGCCUGCUCUGGAAGCCCUCCAGCAGCUCCCUGGCUCCCUUGGGUUGGGGGUGCCCCAGAGCUGGCCACAGCAGUCCAGGCUGAGCUCUCCCCAAAGCAGAGGGGCAGAUGGUUCACAAGCACAGACCCCACAGGCUGCCCAACGACCUUCCCACACUGCAGCUCCAGGUUUCAGUCACAUCCUUUUAGUGUCAAAGCUGAGAGACUUGAGGGCUAAGGCACCAGCAGCACUGUGCUUCAAGCCAGAGAAACACCAAAUAAAAGGAGACCUCUCUUAACUGCAGUUUAAUUGCCCAAGACAAGCACUAAGACAAGGAACAUGCAGAUGAAUUGGGUGACUUGCAGAGCCUAAACAGCUUUAUGAGGCUCCUCCAACACAGUGCCCAGUUACAAACUGCUUCCCUGUGGAAGCAUUUUCACUUCCAGUGUUCUCCAAGCACCUGAUUUUUCACA